GACAACCAACAGGAAUUAGUAUACAUCAGUUAUGGAUGUAAAAGCAGUCUUGCCAUAAAACAAAAUCCCAAAGUAACAGUAAGCAAAUUAUGUGAAUAGGGACAUGUUCCCCAAACAACUGAAUAUUUGAUUACUAUUUUUGUAGGCCUGAUGAAGGUAUAUUAUUGCUGCAAGUUUGGAGGAAGAACUAUUUCGCAUUUAGCAUAAAUGAUGUGUAUAUUGAUUGUGCUGUUACAAAAGUGAAAGUUGAAACAACUACCUUAAAAGGUGAGGUGUUUGUGGUUCUGCAGCUAUCUACAUUGGACUGUCUAAGAAGAUAUUUGAGAAACACUAGGAAUUCUGUUAAUCCUGUCAGCAUAUUAAGUGUAUAGUGUCAACAUAAACUGCCUUUGACUUUACUCCUUUUAUCUUUAUUUCAGUAGUCUCCGGUGUGUCAUAUUCGGGGACAGCCAGAGCAUUCAUAAUCCCGUCAAAGCGCCCAUGCAUCUCAUGUUCUGGGAUUGGAGGAGCGGAAGGAAGUAAAGAAAGGAAUGUACUUGGUCUGCCAAAAAGUCAGAGAAGAGAUUCUAUUGUAGAAAAGGUUAACAGACAAUGCACAUUUUGUUUGAUUUGCCAUCAGUACAUUAAUAAUUACACCAGAUCUCACUGACUAGAGUAGAAUCUGGCUAGCAGCAGAGAGACACCUUGUAUGGAAGAAAAGGCUAACGACCUUGUAAAACUACAACUCCCAAAUGGUGUCAAGAUGCAUUCUACAGUGUAGGCAAACCUUUGGAUUGCCUUUAGGGAGUAUUUCUAGGGAGAAAGUAACUUUUUCCACCCCAAAGCAAGAAUUGCUUUCCCCACUUCCCCUACAGCACAGUUAAUUUCCCUUUUCAUCCUCAACCAAUUGCAUCAAGAUUAAUAGAAUGGCAUAGCAAUCUUCAUCAUAAGGUUUUUAAGGUAAAAAACAUUCUGGAGUAUUUCCCCAUUGCCCUCUUCUGCACCAUACUGUUAUGGAGCUACAAUACCCCCCCCCCCCCAAAGAUUUGUAGUUCACCUAGAGCUCAGAAAUAAAUAUAUUAUUAUUUUCCUUUAAAAACAAAACUUUCAGGACUUGCACAAGUUCAAAGCAUCAGAAGAUCUACAUUGUAUCUAUUUUUCAUGACCUUCUGUAUAACUUUCUGUGUACUGUAUCUAUUUCUUAUAUAUAAAAUGUAUAAACUUCCUUACCAAAAUAUAAACAGAUAAGCCCAGACAGUCACCUCUUCCUAACACUGCUGAGGAAUUUCCUGAAAAUAAGAAAUUUGGUAAACACUUCUGGCUGUUUCCCAGACAGGCAAUCACCAUGUACGUAUAUGCAAAGAUAGGCGACUUCCCUGUCAGCCCAGAUAAACCC
rnacentral:lncRNA from 1 species